rnacentral:rRNA from 1 species
AUUGAACGCUGGCGGCAGGCUUAACACAUGCAAGUCGAGCGGAGAUGAGGUGCUUGCACCUUAUCUUAGCGGCGGACGGGUGAGCAAUGCUUAGGAAUCUGCCUAUUAGUGGGGGACAACAUUCCGAAAGGAAUGCUAACACCGCAUACGUCCUACGGGAGAAAGCAGGGGAUCUUCGGACCUUGUGCUAAUAGAUGAGCCUAAGUCGGAUUAGCUAGUUGGUGGGGUAAAGGCCUACCAAGGCGACGAUCUGUAGCGGGUCUGAGAGGAUGAUCCGCCACACUGGGACUGAGACACGGCCCAGACUCCUACGGGAGGCAGCAGUGGGGAAUAGUGGACAAUGGGGGGAACCCUGAUCCAGCCAUGCCGCGUGUGUGAAGAAGGCCUUAUGGUUGUAAAGCACUUUAAGCGAGGAGGAGGCUACUGAGACUAAUACUCUUGGAUAGUGGACGUUACUCGCAGAAUAAGCACCGGCUAACUCUGUGCCAGCCGCCGCCGUAAAAC